ACACAUGCAGUCGAGCGCACCCUUCGGGGCGAGCGGCGGACGGGUUAGUAACGCGUGGGAAUGUACCCAGAUCUACGGAAUAGCCUUUGGAAACGAAGAGUAAUACCGUAUACGCCCUUCGGGGGAAAGAUUUAUCGGAUUUGGAUCAGCCCGCGUUAGAUUAGAUAGUUGGUGGGGUAAUGGCCUACCAAGUCUACGAUCUAUAGCUGGUUUUAGAGGAUGAUCAGCAACACUGGGACUGAGACACGGCCCAGACUCCUACGGGAGGCAGCAGUGGGGAAUCUUAGACAAUGGGCGAAAGCCUGAUCUAGCCAUGCCGCGUGCGUGAUGAAGGCCUUAGGGUCGUAAAGCACUUUCGCCAGGGAUGAUAAUGACAGUACCUGGUAAAGAAACCCCGGCUAACUCCGUGCCAGCAGCCGCGGUAAUACGGAGGGGGUUAGCGUUGUUCGGAAUUACUGGGCGUAAAGCGCACGUAGGCGGACUAUUAAGUGAGGGGUGAAAUCCCGGGGCUCAACCCCGGAACUGCCUCUCAUACUGGUAGUCUAGAGUUCGAGAGAGGUGAGUGGAAUUCCGAGUGUAGAGGUGAAAUUCGUAGAUAUUCGGAGGAACACCAGUGGCGAAGGCGGCUCACUGGCUCGAUACUGACGCUGAGGUGCGAAAGUGUGGGGAGCAAACAGGAUUAGAUACCCUGGUAGUCCACACCGUAAACGAUGAAUGCCAGUCGUCGGGUAGUAUACU
rnacentral:rRNA from 1 species